rnacentral:lncRNA from 1 species
UCCUUUUGUUAACGCUCUGGCAUCAUGUCUACGCCAGCUCCCGCGCAAUCCGGCGCCAUCGCGCUUUGGGCGAGCAUGGCCAUGGGGAGUAGAGAGGUGGAAACCGAGCUGACGCCUGCCUGACCCUGGCGAUGGUGGCGCGCGCCGGGAAGGACUGAUUGGAGAAUGGCGCCAAAUGGGUCACGGAUGGCGAGGGGGCACAGGAGCUCUCGAUGUGACCUGGCGCUGUGGAUGUGAUGCACAGCAGCUUGAGUGGGACUGCUCCGCUGUCCUCAUGAGAGAACGCUUUUUCUGAAGAUGGGAGGUGGCUAAUGAAAGAAGGAAUUGUGUUCUCGGUGAUGCCUGGAAGAGAUGCGUGACGUUGGAAGAUGAUUACGAAAUACAGGAAAGGGAAUGAAAUCAAAGGAUGUUUUUUGUAAGAGUAACACUUACAGAAAUAUUCAUUAAUUUGAAGAUUUAUAUAAGGCCUGGUGACCUCCGUUAAUUCCUGGGACCCACAGUGUGGAAGAAGAGACCUGACUCCUGAAAGUUGUCUUCUGACCACAUAUACACAA